rfam:Micromonospora lupini str. Lupac 08 genomic scaffold, 1951_scaffold4
GGGGACGUGGCCCAGUUGGUAGGGCAUCUGUUUCGCACUCAGAAGGUCAGGGGUUCGACUCCCCUCGUCUCCA